rnacentral:rRNA from 1 species
AACCUCCUACGGGGCGCAGCAGUGGGAAUAUUGCACAAUGGGGGGAACCCUGAUGCAGCAAUGCCGCGUGGGUGAAGAAGCACUCCGGUGCGUAAAGCCCUGUCAGCAGGGAAGAAAAUGACAGUACCUGGACAAGAAGCCCCGGCUAACUACGUGCCAGCAGCCGCGGUAAUACGUAGGGGGCAAGCGUUAUCCGGAUUUACUGGGUGUAAAGGGAGCGCAGGCGGCGUGGCAAGUCAGAUGUGAAAACCCGGGGCCCAACCCCGUCCGGCCGUUGAAACUGGGGGCCUUGAGUGGGCGAGAAG